CCUACGGGUGGCAGCAGUGGGGAAUAUUGGACAAUGGGCGAAAGCCUGAUCCAGCCAUGCCGCGUGUGUGAAGAAGGCCUUCGGGUUGUAAAGCACUUUCAGUGGGGAAGAAAGCCUUGGGGCUAAUACCCUCGAGGAAGGACAUCACCCACAGAAGAAGCACCGGCUAACUCCGUGCCAGCAGCCGCGGUAAUACGGAGGGUGCGAGCGCUAAUCGGAAUUACUGGGCGUAAAGCGCGCGUAGGCGGUCUGAUAAGCCGGUUGUGAAAGCCCCGGGCUCAACCUGGGAACGGCAUCCGGAACUGUCAGGCUAGAGUGCAGGAGAGGAAGGUAGAAUUCCCGGUGUAGCGGUGAAAUGCGUAGAGAUCGGGAGGAAUACCAGUGGCGAAGGCGGCCUUCUGGACUGACACUGACGCUGAGGUGCGAAAGCGUGGGUAGCAAACAGGAUUAGAUACCCGGGUAGUC
rnacentral:rRNA from 1 species